rnacentral:rRNA from 1 species
AAAUUGAAGAGUUUGAUCAUGGCUCAGAUUGAACGCUGGCGGCAGGCCUAACACAUGCAAGUCGAGCGGUAGCACAGAAGAGCUUGCUCUUUGGGUGACGAGCGGCGGACGGGUGAGUAAUGUCUGGGAAACUGCCUGAUGGAGGGGGAUAACUACUGGAAACGGUAGCUAAUACCGCAUAACCUCGCAAGAGCAAAGAGGGGGACCUUCGGGCCUCUCGCCAUCAGAUGUGCCCAGAUGGGAUUAGCUAGUAGGUGAGGUAAUGGCUCACCUAGGCGACGAUCCCU